GAUGAACGCUGGCGGCGUGCCUAAUACAUGCAAGUCGAGCGAACAGAUGAGGAGCUUGCUCCUCUGACGUUAGCGGCGGACGGGUGAGUAACACGUGGAUAACCUACCUAUAAGACUGGGAUAACUUCGGGAAAGCGGAGCUAAUACCGGAUAAUAUAUUGAACCGCAUGGUUCAAUAGUGAAAGACGGUUUUGCUGUCCCUUAUAGAUGGAUCCGCGCCGCAUUAGCUAGUUGGUAAGGUAACGGCUUACCAAGGCAACGAUGCGUAGCCGACCUGAGAGGGUGAUCGGCCACACUGGAACUGAGACACGGUCCAGACUCCUACGGGAGGCAGCAGUAGGGAAUCUUCCGCAAUGGGCGAAAGCCUGACGGAGCAACGCCGCGUGAGUGAUGAAGGUCUUCGGAUCGUAAAACUCUGUUAUUAGGGAAGAACAAAUGUGUAAGUAACUAUGCACGUCUUGACGGUACCUAAUCAGAAAGCCACGGCUAACUACGUG
rnacentral:rRNA from 1 species